rnacentral:rRNA from 1 species
AGUGAACGCUGGCGGUAGGCCUAACACAUGCAAGUCGAACGGCAGCACAGUAAGAGCUUGCUCUUACGGGUGGCGAGUGGCGGACGGGUGAGGAAUACAUCGGAAUCUACUUUUUCGUGGGGGAUAAUGUAGGGAAACUUACGCUAAUACCGCAUACGACCUACGGGUGAAAGCAGGGGAUCUUCGGACCUUGCGCGAUUGUAUGAGCCGAUGUCGGAUUAGCUAGUUGGCGGGGUAAAGGCCCACCAAGGCGACGAUCCGUAGCUGGUCUGAGAGGAGGAUCAGCCACACGGAAACUGAGACACGGUCAGACUCCUACGGGAGGCAGCAGUGGGGAAUAUUGGACAAUGGGCGCAAGCCUGAUCCAGCCAUGCCGCGUGAGUGAAGAAGGCCUUCGGGUUGUAAAGCCCUUUUAUUGGGAAAGAAAAGCAGCAGGUUAAUACCCCGCUGUUCUGACGGUACCCAAAGAAUAAGCACCGGCUAACUUCGUG